GUGUCCCCUAGGGUUCCUCCAACCACUUCAGUGCGUGGGUGGGAGUUUUCUCUCCAACCACUUCAGUAUAUAUCCCCCCCCCCCCGUCCUCUCUACUGAAGUGUUUGGGGGAACUCCAGGUGCCAC
rnacentral:pre_miRNA from 1 species